GGCGGACGGGUGAGUAAUACAUCGGAAUCUGCCCUGUCGUGGGGGAUAACCUAGGGAAACUUAGGCUAAUACCGCAUACGACCUACGGGUGAAAGCGGGGGAUCGCAAGACCUCGCGCGAUAGGAUGAGCCGAUGUCCGAUUAGCUAGUUGGCGGGGUAAAGGCCCACCAAGGCGACGAUCGGUAGCUGGUCUGAGAGGAUGACCAGCCACACUGGGACUGAGACACGGCCCAGACUCCUACGGGAGGCAGCAGUGGGGAAUAUUGGACAAUGGGCGCAAGCCUGAUCCAGCCAUGCCGCGUGGGUGAAGAAGGCCUUCGGGUUGUAAAGCCCUUUGUCCGGAAGAAAUCUUCUGGGUUAAUACCCUUGACUGGC
rnacentral:rRNA from 1 species